rnacentral:rRNA from 1 species
AGCGAACGCUGGCGGCAGGCCUAACACAUGCAAGUCGAACGAACUCUUCGGAGUUAGUGGCGGACGGGUGAGUAACACGUGGGAACGUGCCUUUAGGUUCGGAAUAACUCAGGGAAACUUGUGCUAAUACCGAAUGUGCCCUUCGGGGGAAAGAUUUAUCGCCUUUAGAGGGGCCCGCGUCUGAUUAGCUAGUUGGUGAGGUAACGGCUCACCAAGGCGACGAUCAGUAGCUGGUCUGAGAGGAUGACCAGCCACACUGGGACUGAGACACGGCCCAGAAUCCUACGGGAGGCAGCAGUGGGGAAUCUUGCGCAAUGGGCGAAAGCCUGACGCAGCCAUGCCGCGUGAAUGAUGAAGGUCUUAGGAUUGUAAAAUUCUUUCACCGGGGACGAUAAUGACGGUACCCGGAGAAGAAGCCCCGGCUAACUUCGUGCCAGCCGCCGCAGUAAAAC